CUGACGACGGCGCAUGGGUGGAGAUAGGUGUUGAGCGCCCUUUGCCCCUCAGAACCGCGAAGCGGUUUUCUGCUGGGCAGCGUCUGAACGUCAG
rfam:Methanosaeta harundinacea 6Ac, complete genome.